rnacentral:rRNA from 1 species
AGCGAACGCUGGCGGCAGGCCUAACACAUGCAAGUCGAACGAAGUCUUCGGACUUAGUGGCGGACGGGUGAGUAACACGUGGGAACGUGCCCUUUGGUACGGAAUAACUCAGGGAAACUUGAGCUAAUACCGUAUGUGCCCUUCGGGGGAAAGAUUUAUCGCCAUUGGAGCGGCCCGCGUCUGAUUAGCUAGUUGGUGAGGUAAAGGCUCACCAAGGCGACGAUCAGUAGCUGGUCUGAGAGGAUGAUCAGCCACAUUGGGACUGAGACACGGCCCAAACUCCUACGGGAGGCAGCAGUGGGGAAUCUUGCGCAAUGGGCGAAAGCCUGACGCAGCCAUGCCGCGUGGAUGAUGAAGGUCUUAGGAUUGUAAAAUUCUUUCACCGGGGACGAUAAUGACGGUACCCGGAGAAGAAGCCCCGGCUAACUUCGUGCCAGCAGCCGCGGUAAUAC